GUGGCUUUUUCACUCAGAAUUGUGCCAUUCUCUGAUGAGUGUUGGCUUCUUAUGGACUUUCAAUUUUGUGGCCUUCUCUACUGAGGUUAUGGCGGCCCUCAAGGGAUUUUACUAUGAUGGCUACUGCCAAAUGUGUUCGAUUGGCCAUGACUUUGAUGUAGCUUCUUGGGGCAUAUAAUUGGGCCUUCUUCAGAAUCCAUGGCAUCAUGGAUUUGAGUGUGGCUCUCUUCAGAGUUGAAGAGAAAUAAGACCUCUUUUAGAUUAAAAAUAUCAGAAUUUAUAAAAUGCCCCAAGAAUUGUGAAUGCUUAAGAGAGACCACACCUUUUCCUCCAAAUGCCAUGAUUCUUGCAUUUACGUCUGGGGCAUUUUUAGUUCCUCAGGAAUAUAUUUUUACUAGGCGAGAUCUUAGAACACUCCCUGAGGAGAGCCACACUUAAAAUCUAUAAUGCUAUCUUGAGGACGUCUGAGGCAUUUUUAGAACCUAGGGGAGAUUUUAUUCCUAGAGGCACUCUUCAACCCUGGGGAGAGCCACAUUAAAUCCAUAAUGCCAUGAUUCUUGGGGACGUCAUCUGGGGUGUUUUUAGUUCUCGGGGCAUUUUUAGAACCUAGGGGAGAUCUUAUUCCUAGGAACACUCUUCAACCCUGGGGAGAGCCACGCUCAAAUUCAAAAUGCUAUGAUUCUUGAGGAUGUUGUCUGGGGCAUUUUUAGUUCUCGGGGUAUAUUUUUAACCUAGGGGAGAUCUUAUUCCUAGGGGCACUCUUCAACCCUGGGGAGAGCCACGCUCAAAUUCAAAAUGCUAUGAUUUUUUGGAGGAUCGUCUGGGGCAUUUUUAGUUCUCGGGGUAUAUUUUUAACCUAGGGGAGAUCUUAUUCCUAGGGGCACUCUUCAACCCUGGGGAGAGCCACGCUCAAAUUCAAAAUGCCAUGAUUCUUGAGGACAUUGUCUGGGGCAUUUUUAGUUCUCGGGGAGACCGUAUUCCUAGAGGCACUCUUCAACCCUGGGGAGAGCCACGCUUAAAUUCAUAUGCCAUGAUUCUUGAACAUUUAUCCUGGGGCAUUUUCAGAACCUAGGAACACUCUUCAACCCUGAGGAGAGCCACACUUAAUCCAUAAUGCCAUGAUUCUUGUGGUCUUUCACCUCAAGGUUUGUCCUGUGAUGUGAAAAUGAAUUUAUAAGUGAAUAGACUGUAGAUUCAGUGGCUGUAUCAUGUGCAUGUGGAAGCAAUUAAUAAAAUUUAGACCGG
rnacentral:sRNA from 1 species